AGUCGAACGGAAAGGCCCUUCGGGGUACUCGAGUGGCGAACGGGUGAGUAACACGUGGGUGAUCUGCCCUGCACUUUGGGAUAAGCCUGGGAAACUGGGUCUAAUACCGAAUAGGACCGCAUGCUUCAUGGUGUGUGGUGGAAAGCUUUUGCGGUGUGGGAUGGGCCCGCGGCCUAUCAGCUUGUUGGUGAGGUAAUGGCUUACCAAGGCGACGACGGGUAGCCGGCCUGAGAGGGUGACCGGCCACACUGGGACUGAGAUACGGCCCAGACUCCUACGGGAGGCAGCAGUGGGGAAUAUUGCACAAUGGGCGCAAGCCUGAUGCAGCGACGCCGCGUGAGGGAUGACGGCCUUCGGGUUGUAAACCUCUUUCGCCAGGGACGAAGCGCAAGUGACGGUACCUGGAGAAGAAGGACCGGCCAACUACGUGCCAGCAGCCGCGGUAAUACGUAGGGUCCGAGCGUUGUCCGGAAUUACUGGGCGUAAAGAGCUCGUAGGUGGUUUGUCGCGUUGUUCGUGAAAACUCACAGCUUAACUGUGGGCGUGCGGGCGAUACGGGCAGACUUGAGUACUGCAGGGGAGACUGGAAUUCCUGGUGUAGCGGUGGAAUGCGCAGAUAUCAGGAGGAACACCGGUGGCGAAGGCGGGUCUCUGGGCAGUAACUGACGCUGAGGAGCGAAAGCGUGGGGAGCGAACAGGAUUAGAUACCCUGGUAGUCCACGCCGUAAACGGUGGGUACUAGGUGUGGGUUUCCUUCCUUGGGAUCCGUGCCGUAGCUAACGCAUUAAGUACCCCGCCUGGGGAGUACGGCCGCAAGGCUAAAACUCAAAGAAAUUGACGGGGGCCCGCACAAGCGGCGGAGCAUGUGGAUUAAUUCGAUGCAACGCGAAGAACCUUACCUGGGUUUGACAUGCACAGGACGCCGGCAGAGAUGUCGGUUCCCUUGUGGCCUGUGUGCAGGUGGUGCAUGGCUGUCGUCAGCUCGUGUCGUGAGAUGUUGGGUUAAGUCCCGCAACGAGCGCAACCCUUGUCUCAUGUUGCCAGCACGUUAUGGUGGGGACUCGUGAGAGACUGCCGGGGUCAACUCGGAGGAAGGUGGGGAUGACGUCAAGUCAUCAUGCCCCUUAUGUCCAGGGCUUCACACAUGCUACAAUGGCCGGUACAAAGGGCUGCGAUGCCGUGAGGUGGAGCGAAUCCUUUCAAAGCCGGUCUCAGUUCGGAUCGGGGUCUGCAACUCGACCCCGUGAAGUCGGAGUCGCUAGUAAUCGCAGAUCAGCAACGCUGCGGUGAAUACGUUCCCGGGCCU
rnacentral:rRNA from 1 species